CGAAAUAUGGUUUAAUUUAUAAAACAUUUCAUUUACAUUGAGAAGAAUUAUUGUGAAGAUCAAUUUAUUUCGA
rnacentral:tRNA from 1 species